rnacentral:misc_RNA from 1 species
UCACGGUUUGCACCGGCAGUCUUGCUAGAGUUCCCGACAUUACUCGCUGGCAACUAACAACAGGGGUUGCGCUCGUUAUAGGACUUAACCUGACACCUCACGGCACGAGCUGACGACAACCAUGCAGCACCUUGUAAUCUGUCCGAAGAAGGGCGUGUUUCCACACCUGUCAGACUACAUUUAAGCCCUGGUAAGGUUCCUCGCGUAUCAUCGAAUUAAACCACAUGCUCCACCGCUUGUGCGGGCCCCCGUCAAUUCCUUUGAGUUUCAUUCUUGCGAACGUACUCCCCAGGUGGGAUACUUAUCACUUUCGCUUAGCCACUCAGGUUACCAAUGCAACCCGAACAGCUAGUAUCCAUCGUUUACGGCGUGGACUAC